GAGGAGGUCAGGGAUACAUUUCUGCUUAUGCAGUUUUCUCAAUUUCCUUCAUCUGAAAACACUCAGUAUGCCAAGGUGCCAUGAUUUGCGAUAGCGUUUCCUGCAUCCUAUCAGGUAGAAGAAAAAAAAUAUUUUUCCUUCAGUGACUUUUUUUUGGUAAAUAAUAACCUUUUAUUAUGUAAAAUUUAUUAUUAUGUAAAGAAAACAUUUUCUGAAGUUAUAGUUAAAAAUAUGAUCAUCACCUGAAAGUCAUUUGGACAGAUGCAUUUAAGUUGACAAAUCUUUUUGGCGUAUACUUUAUUACUUUCUACUUUUACAGCAUUAUGGUCACCAACUGUGGCCUGGAUUAUUUUUUGAAUUUUGCAUUUAUGAGGUUUUCUUUUUCAUUUACUAUAUAGUUGAUUUUUGUAAAUGCUACCUGAUGGCUUAAAAAGUGACAUAUUAUCUGCUUUUAGUGAAUGUAUCUUUUUGUGUUUGUGUAGAAUAUUGUGUCUAUUUCUAGGCAACACAAAUAUAUGUUGUAGAAUAACAUCUGAUUUUGGCAAUAUAAUCUUUCUCUUUCUGUAAAAAUAUGUGACACUUUACCCCAAAUUCUUGCCUGGUAUAAAAACAUAUUUGUUAGAUAAAGGAUAUUUGAAAAUCUCAUUGAGAGACACGAAGGCUACUUGGGUUGUGGGGAGGUAUGUCAUCCCCUCUGCAAAUUAUGAGUACUUUUGGAUCAUCUGUAGGUGGGGCGGGAGUCUUUCAAAGGAGAGGGGAUGUGUGCUAUAGUGAGGAGACACCGUUUCUCAAAUUCCAUGUGAAUCUCUGGCCUUCAGGGGCAUUUGAUAUGUGAACAUGGCUAAAGGAUCUCAAGAAGAGAAAUUCGCUUCAUUGUUAAAGUUAUGGGCUCAGCUGUCAGGGUCAUACUCUGCACAGAGCAGGAGGAGAGCUCCUAGGCACUCCUGCCUGCCAGCAGGGACAGCUGCUGGUGCUGCAAAAUGGGUCCUUAGAAGAUGGACCUGGAAGAGAAGGCAAGUAGACUUUUUAGCAGGAGUCUGCUGGGAGACGGGAGUGCCAUUCUCUCUGGUAUAAAAGAAUCUUCAUAGCUGGGUGUGGUGACUCACGCUUGUAAUCCCUAGCACUUUGAGAGGCCGAGGCGAGUGGAUCACUAGGUCAGGAGUUUGAGACUAGCCUCGCCAAUAUGGUGAAACCCCAUUCUCUACUAAAAAUACAAAAAUUAGCCAGGCAUGGUGGCAGGUGCCUGUAGUCCCAGCUACUCGGGAGGCUGAGGCAGGAGAAUCGCUUAGACUCGGGAGGUAGAGGUUGCAGUGACCUGAGAUCAUGCCACUGCACUCCAGCCUGGGUGACAGAGUGAGACUCUGUGUCAAAAAAAAAAAAAAAAAAAAAAA
rnacentral:lncRNA from 1 species